rnacentral:rRNA from 1 species
GCGAAGGUAGCGCAAUCACUUGUCUUUUAAAUGAAGACCUGUAUGAAUGGCACGACGAGGGCUUAACUGUCUCCUUUUUCCAGUCAAUGAAAUUGAUCUUCCCGUGCAGAAGCGGGAAUAAUACCAUAAGACGAGAAGACCCUGUGGAGCUUUAGACACUGAAUCAGCCCUUGUCCAAAAUCCCAGUUAAGGCUAUGAACACUAGAGUGAGAUCUGAUUUAAUGUCUUCGGUUGGGGCGACCUUGGGGAAAGAAAAAUCCCCCAUGCGGAACGGAAAUACUAUGCUUCCAAAACUAAGAGCAACCACUCAAAGUAUCAAAAAUUUUGACCAACUAUACGAUCCGGCUAAACGCCGAUAAACGGAGCAAGUUACCCCA